AUUGAACGCUGGCGGCAUGCCUUACACAUGCAAGUCGAGCGGCAGCGCGGGGGCAACCCUGGCGGCGAGCGGCGAACGGGUGAGUAAUACAUCGGAACGUGUCCAGUAGCGGGGGAUAACCUGUCGAAAGAUAGGCUAAUACCGCAUACGAUCUACGGAUGAAAGCGGGGGACCGCAAGGCCUCGCACUGUUGGAGCGGCCGAUGUCGGAUUAGCUAGUUGGCGGGGAAAAGCCCACCAAGGCGACGAUCCGUAGCUGGUCUGAGAGGACGACCAGCCACACUGGAACUGAGACACGGUCCAGACUCCUACGGGAGGCAGCAGUGGGGAAUUUUGGACAAUGGGGGCAACCCUGAUCCAGCCAUGCCGCGUGAGUGAAGAAGGCCU
rnacentral:rRNA from 1 species